UGACCCCUCUCAAACCUUCCCUUCCUUUCCCAGUGUAUGCUUUACCUGCAGUGUAAGACUGCAAUAUUUCACUGGGUCAGUUGCUUUCUUGUCGUCAUGUAUUCCUGCAGAAAAGAUGAGGCCUCUAAGGAAGGAGCCAGGAGUCGGAAGUUCAUUGCAGAAGCCGAAUGUGGAAAUGUAUGAGCUUGACAACUCAAAGCAACAUCAACAUGGUGAGAAAGAUUACUUUAACCAAGUUAAAGAAGACCUGCAGGGAGAAGCAGACAACCCAGGAGACUAGAAAGGGGAUACAGAGAUUUUCCUGGCCUAGAAGAGUGGUGCAGGUGAGUUCAGCUCACUGCAACUAAUACCCAGCAAUUAGCUGCUUCAAAUACAUUGGUGGUAUGUUUUGUGCAGGCUGAGUAAAAAUCUAACACACA